rnacentral:rRNA from 1 species
UGGGGAAUAUUGGGCAAUGGGCGAAAGCCUGACCCAGCCAUGCCGCGUGAGUGAUGAAGGCCUUAGGGUUGUAAAGCUCUUUCGACGGUGAAGAUAAUGACGGUAACCGUAGAAGAAGCCCCGGCUAACUUCGUGCCAGCAGCCGCGGUAAUACGAAGGGGGCUAGCGUUGUUCGGAAUCACUGGGCGUAAAGCGUGCGUAGGCGGCCAUGCAAGUCAGAGGUGAAAGCCCAGGGCUCAACCCUGGAACUGCCUUUGAAACUGCAUGGCUGGAGUAUCGGAGAGGGUGGCGGAAUUCCCAGUGUAGGGGUGAAAUCCGUAGAGACUGGGAGGAACACCGGUGGCGAAGGCGGCCACCUGGACGAUUACUGACGCUGAGGCACGAAAGCGUGGGGAGCAAACAGG